rnacentral:tRNA from 1 species
GGCAUGUUGCCAGAGUGGUUAAUGGGUGAGACUUGAAUUCAUUUCGAAUUAAGCCAUCUCAUGACUUCGGUCGCGUAGGUUCAAAUCCUGCACAUGUCG